AUUGAUGUUGGACGGGGAACAAACCACACCAGCGAUAUCAGUCGUAAGCAGACUGGGGGUAAGUAGAUGUAACACUGCACAUAUCGGUGGCGAAGCUAGUGCCGAUUCUACGAACGACUGGCGGGU
rnacentral:sRNA from 12 species